rfam:Oryza brachyantha chromosome 1, whole genome shotgun sequence.
UUUUCGUUUUUCCGUGUCUAACGUUUGACCAUUCAUCUUAUUUGAAAUUUUUUGGCGAUUAACUUUUUUAUUAUUACUAGAUAGUAAAAUAUGAAUAAUAUUUUAUACGUGACUAAUUUUUUAAAUUUUUGUAUAAUUUUUUUAAAUAAAACGAAUAGUCAAACGUUAGAAAAAAAAUAAAG